UGGGAAUCCUUUCGGCCGAAUAUCUAAGGUUUCCAGAGUAAAGCUGAUCUGCUCUGGGUAAGUCGGGGCCUAAGCACAGGUCGCAAGACGUAAGCGAUGGAUAACAGGUUUAGAUUCCUGUACCACGCAUUAUCAGAACUGUAGGGACGCAUGUGGAAAGCACGAGCCGGGAAUGGAAAGACCGGUACAAGCGGGGUAGGUGUACAAUAGGCAAAUCCGUUGUAUAAUCCGAAGACGUGAUGUGGAGCGAAAUAAAGUAGUGAAGCGUGUGAGCCAUGUGCCGAGAAAAGCUGCUAUUGUGUAAUGCGUGCCCGUACCGUAAACCGACACAGGUGGAUGAGGAGAGAAUCCUAAGGCCGACGGAAGAAGCAUUGUUAAGGAAUUCGGCAAAAUGACCCCGUAACUUCGGGAGAAGGGGUGCCUGCGAGAGCAGGCCGCAGAGAAUAGGCUCAAGCAACUGUUUAGCAAAAACACAGGUCUAUGCGAAACCGAAAGGUGAAGUAUAUGGGCUGACGCCUGCCCGGUGCUGGAAGGUUAAGAGGAGAGGUUAGCGUAAGCGAAGCUUUGAAUUUAAGCCCCAGUAAACGGCGGCCGUAACUAUAACGGUCCUAAGGUAGCGAAAUUCCUUGUCGGGUAAGUUCCGACCCGCACGAAAGGCGUAAUGAUUUGAGCACUGUCUCGACAAUGCAUCCGGUGAAAUUGAAGUACCAGUGAAGAUGCUGGUUACCCGCGCCAGGACGGAAAGACCCCAUGGAGCUUUACUCCAGUUUGAUACUGGGAUUCGGUACUGCAUGUACAGGAUAGGUGGGAGACGAAGAAGGAUGGACGCCAGUCUGUCCGGAGUCGCUGUUGGGAUACCACCCCUGUAGUACUGGGUUUCUAACCAGUUGCCAUGAACUGGCAAUGGGACAAUGUCAGGCGGGGAGUUUGACUGGGGCGGUCGCCUCCGAAAGGGUAUCGGAGGCGCUCAAAGGUUCCCUCAGAAUGGUUGGAAACCAUUUGAAGAGUGCAAAGGCAGAAGGGAGCUUGACUGCGACACCGACGGGUGGAGCAGGUACGAAAGUAGGACUUAGUGAUCCGGUGGUAUAAAGUGGGAUUGCCAUCGCUCAACGGAUAAAAGCUACCCUGGGGAUAACAGGCUUAUCACUCCCAAGAGUUCACAUCGACGGAGUGGUUUGGCACCUCGAUGUCGGCUCAUCGCAUCCUGGGGCUGUAGCAGGUCCCAAGGGUUGGGCUGUUCGCCCAUUAAAGCGGUACGCGAGCUGGGUUCAGAACGUCGUGAGACAGUUCGGUCCCUAUCCGGCGCGGGCGGAGGAUAUUUGAGAGGAGCUGUCCUUAGUACGAGAGGACCGGGAUGGACGGACCACUGGUGUAUCUGUUGUCGACCAACGGCAUGGCAGAGUAGCCAAGUCUGGAAGGGAUAAACGCUGAAGGCAUCUAAGCGUGAAGCCCCCCUCAAGAUGAGAUAUCCCUCCUUCGGGAGUAAGACCCCUUGAAGACUACAAGGUAGAUAGGGCAGAGGUGGAAGCAUGGCAACAUGUGGAGCUGACUGUUACUAAUAGGUCGAGGGCUUAAUCUG
rnacentral:rRNA from 1 species